rnacentral:rRNA from 1 species
CCAGACUCCUACGGGAGGCAGCAGUGGGGAAUAUUGCACAAUGGGCGCAAGCCUGAUGCAGCCAUGCCGCGUGUAUGAAGAAGGCCUUCGGGUUGUAAAGUACUUUCAGCGGGGAGGAAGGCGAUAAGGUUAAUAACCUUGUCGAUUGACGUUACCCGCAGAAGAAGCACCGGCUAACUCCGUGCCAGCAGCCGCGGUAAUACGGAGGGUGCAAGCGUUAAUCGGAAUUACUGUGCGUAAAGCGCACGCAGGCGGUCUGCCAAGUCGGAUGUGAAAUCCCCGGGCUCAACCUGGGAACUGAAUUCGAAACUGGCAGGCUGGAGUCUUGUAGAGGGGGGUAGAAUUCCAGGUGUAGCGGUGAAGUGCGUAGAGAUCUGGAGGAAUACCGGUGGCGAAGGCGGCCCCCUGGACAAAGACUGGCGCUCAGGUGCGAAAGCGUGGGGAGCAAACAGGAUUAGAUACCCCCGUAACC